AACAUUCUCCCGAUACUCGGCCGCCGGGGCACUACCGGCCUGGCUCCUGCCAGGUCUCGACGCCCCGGCGAGUAGGAGGGUCGCGGUGGUGUGCGCUGAAGGGUUCGGCGUGAGCCGGCCUGGAGCCUCCACUGGUGCAGAUCUUGGUGGUAGUAGCAAAUAAUCGAGAGAGACUCCCUCGAAGGCCGAAGUGGAGAAGGGUUCCAUGUGAACAUCAGUUGGACAUGGGUUAGUCGCUCCUAAGCCCAAGGCGAAGGCCUGAUCCCAAGUUAGAGGCAACGACCACCCGCGUGAGUGAGUGGUCCAACCACCACCACC
rnacentral:rRNA from 1 species